CUGACCCCUCCCUGAACUGUUUGUAAGCUGUCGCAUUUUCGCCUAUAAAAGAUGUAAGCACUGAGAGAAAUCAGACUCUUAAAUUAAUCGACUUUGUCCAAAUUUCUACCACAAAGAACACAUGUAAUACUCGGCUUCAGGUGUAUUGUCUGGCCUCAUAGGUAUGGCUGAGUUCUUACUGUUAUGAACAGGUGCUGUGUGUAAACUAUAAAAUAUUAAAUAUAAUGUCUGAUUAGUACAUCUUCCUUUCUGUGCCACUAAUUACACUGUGCUGAAUUGUUUUUAAUAAUAGCUUUUAGAAAUUGUUCCUGCAGAAGAAAAGUACAGUACAGUAGUGGAGCAAAAAAAAGAAAUGGAAACAGUUAAAAAAGAAGUUGAGGAAAAUAUUAGAAAGUCUCAAGAGAAACAGAAGGAGGCAUAUUCCAGGAGAGUAAUGAAGAAGUACAAAAACUUAAAGUACAGUGUUGGAGAUGAGGUACUUUUGUGCAAUAUGAGGAAGCGAGGAAGGAAGGGAGGCAGGAUUGAAGCGGACUUCUCUGGCCCUUACUUUAUUCAGACUAUCAGCGGUAAACUUGUUACUCUAAGUACACCUGAAGGAGCUAUGCUAAAAAACAAGUACAACAUGGACCACAUAAAACCUUAUAGAAGAAGCCCAACUGCAGACGUACCAGGCCAGAAAGUCCCAAUACCUAGUCAAGUUGAGAACAUGAUGACAUCUGAUGUGUCUCCUGAAAUCCACCCUCCAGAUUUACCUCCACAAUCUGAACGGCCUUCUGUUAUUCAGUUUUGUGUGAAAAUGCCAACAGAACACAUUAAUACAGAUAAACAGGUAAAAAAGAGGGUAGCUGAAAGGCAGGAAAUGGACAUGAUGCCAUCAAAGACUAAACGCACCAUUCAGCAAGAAGGUCUGAUUUCUGCAGUGAACUUGGUUCUUGAGUUUUGACCCGUUGGUCAAACAUCUUCCACUGGUUUGUCCUUUAUGUGGUGGAGAUUUUGGCUGUUCUGCUUGAGGUUAGCCUGUUGGCUAUUUUGAUUUGCUUCUAACAAGACAAUGAGGUGGCUAGGCAAGUGUAAAGUCAUUAUUACACUUUUAUUAAUACCCCCCAUGUACCAACUACAUGUUUUACAUUUUGUUAAUGUAUCCGCCUCCUUGUCUGUGCUAGUUCAACAUCUUGUUCUAGAUGUUUUUUUAGGGGGAUGGUCUUGCUCCUUUUUGUUCCUUUGUCCCAUUUAUUAACUUUUCAUAAAGUUGAUAAAUGUUUUUCACAACACAUUUCUUUAUGUCUUUGUUUUUAGUAAAGGAACUCUGGGCAGCAAAAGACAAUGGACAAGUGGAAGCAGUGGUUGGACCAUAUAAUUUGUACAACUCCUCUUUCCGUACUCUGCAAGGGGCAGAAUGGCUUUCUGAUGAAGUUAUUGAUGCUCAUAUUCACCUCUUGCUCAAAAAACAAAAGAAGGCCAUAUUCCAUCUCAGUGCCGUUGUUUCAAGCUCCUUGUUUAAUGGACAGUUUAGAAGUCUCCAUAAGAUGAAGUUACCAGCUGAGGAUGUUUGGCUGUGUCCUGUAAAUGUUACUGCACACUGGAUUCUUGUGAUUGUGAACAUGGCAGAGAAGAUGGUCAUUGUAAUUGACCCAAUGGGAAAUGAGGAUGCCUACAAAAGGAAGAUUCUGAGGAACAAGCG